GGCGGUGUGCCUAACACAUGCAAGUCGAGCGAGAACCGAUCGAGGGGUAACCCUCGGUCGGGGAGAGCGGCGAACGGGUGAGUAACACGUGGGUAACCUGCCCCAGACACUGGGAUAACACCGGGAAACCGGUGCUAAUACCGGAUAUUCUCGGCGGAUCGCAUGACCUGCCGAGGAAAGCUCCGACGGUCUGGGAUGGGCCCGCGGCCUAUCAGCUUGUUGGUGGGGUAACGGCCUACCAAGGCUCCGACGGGUAGCUGGCGUGAGAGCGUGGCCAGCCACNCUGGGACUGAGACACGGCCCAGACUCCUACGGGAGGCAGCAGUGGGGAAUAUUGCGCUAAUGCGCGAAAGCGUGACGCAGCGACACCGCGUGGGGGAUGAAUGCCUUCGGGUUGUAAACCCCUUUCGACAGGGGAAGAAGCUAACG
rnacentral:rRNA from 1 species